rnacentral:rRNA from 1 species
CAGGGCAUCCAUGUCUUGUAAUUGGAAUGAAUAGAAUCCAAACCCCUUUGUGAGUAUCAAUUGGAGGGCAAGUCUGGUGCCAGCAGCCGCGGUAAUUCCAGCUCCAAUAGCGUAUAUUAAAGUUGUCGCGGUUAAAAAGCUCGUAGUCGGAUUUCUGCUGAGGUUGAUUGGUCCGCCCUCUGGGCAGGUAUCUGGCUCAACCUUGGCAUUUUCCCAGAGAGCGUGUCUGCACUUGACUGUGUGGUGCGGGGCUUGGGACUUUUACUUUGAGGAAAUUAGAGUGUUUCAAGCAAGCAGUUGCUUUGAAUACAUUAGCAUGGAAUAACAAGAUACAACCUCGGUCCUAUCUUGUUGGUUUCUAGAGCUGAGGUAACGAUUAAUAGGGGUAGUUGGGGGCAUUUGUAUUUAAUUGUCAGAGGUGAAAUUCUUGGAUUUGUUAAAGACUGACUACUGCGAAAGCAUUUGCCAAGGAUGUUUUCAUUGAUCAAGAACGAAAGUUAGGGGAUCGAAGACGAUCAGAUACCGUCCUAGUCUUAACCAUAAACAAUGCCGACUAGAGAUUGAAGGUUGUUAUCAUCAUGACCCCUUCAGCACCUUAUGAGAAAUCAAAGUCUUUGGGUUCCGGGGGGAGUAUGGUCGCAAGGCUGAAACUUAAAGGAAUUGACGGAAGGGCACCACCAGGAGUGGAGCCUGCGGCUUAAUUUGACUCAACACGGGGAAACUUACCAGGUCCAGACAUAGUGAGGAUUGACAGAUUGAUAGCUCUUUCUUGACUCUGUGGGUGGUGGUGCAUGGCCGUUCUUAGUUGGUGGAGUGAUUUGU